UUAAUCUCAAUCCCCAUAUCCCCACUGCACCCUGUAAUGGUGGAAAGAAGAUUCGAGAAGGCGCACAUCCCAGUUUCCCCACUAAUUCAGUUUUUUUUUUCUUCUUUUUUUCUAAUUCCCCAUUUUCAAUUUUCUGUUCUCCCCAAAUUUCUUUCAUCCAGAGAAAGUAGAGUACCCUCAGAUUCGGAACAGAAAAAGAGAAACCCUAGCAGAAAAAUUGUGGCCAGAUUAGCGGUACAGUUUCAUGGUGCAGAUUGUUCGUUGCUCAAUGGAGUUUCUUCAAUCUAAUUCAUCCUUUUCUUUUAGGGUUUUCCUAAAUUGUUCAUUUCUCAUGGAUCCACUGGAUGUGCUUGGGAAGAAGAGGCAUAAGACUUAACUCAUCCUUUUCAGUCAUAGUGCUCAUUACCAUGAAUCCACGAGAACAAACUUCGAGAACAAACUUGAGAAGAAGAGAUAUUAACUCACUCAUCUUAGAAUGGACAAAUUUUUGAUGAGAUGAAUAUAUUUUUAUCACCCGAAUUCGAAGCAGGGAUUUAGGAUUUUCUCAAAGUUGCUAGUCAGAAACUAAUGUGAAUCUUUCUUCUAGAUGAAACAAAGGAACACAGGUUUGUGAAGUCAGGGAAGUUGCAGGAGAACCAAGUAAAUCAAGGACCGCAUAUAGUUCAAAUAUUAUUAGCAUUUUCGGAAUUGAUGCAGGCUUUGGCCAGCAAUCCUGGAUACAAUCGCCGAGUUUUGGAGGGCCUAGAAACUGCUAAAGCUCUUUUGGAGUAAAACACUUUACACUUGAUACUGAACACAUUUUCAUGUACUCGCAUCGAUAUGGAUUAUGGAUCUUGCUUCUGAUACAGUAUCAGAACUUGCACUCUUCACUCGUUACUGUUAAUUUUCGGAGGAAGUUUGUGGUUGACACUUCUCUCUUGAUUGUACUCAGUGCUUCGGGGAAUAUAGCCUAAAUAACCCAGUUCUUUGCAGAGUUGAAGCUUAGGCGUACGAAGCUCACCGGGACAAAUAAGAGAUAGAUCUAGCUGUUGAAAAUCAUUUCUUAGAAAAUGCGAGAGUUACUAAAGGACUUGAAGCAUAUCGUGUGGUGGUGAAAUUGAAGAAGACGAAAACAACUAGCCCAACUUGGGAGUGCAACUGGUGUCUACAAGAUGCUUGUGAAGUACCUAGUAGGAGUGUUGUAGGCUCACAGGCAUCAGAAGCAAAGCGUUUACAUCUUUUGAUGUCUUCCACACAUCACUAUGCAUUAUAAACAAGACAGUACAACAAACCUGAUUUUAAAAGUUUCUGGCGACAGACAGGAAUUUCUGGAUAUCUUAUUAUUUCAAGUAUUUUCAGCAUUCUAUAGAGAGAUCUUCAUCCAUUUUUUGUUCGUUCAUGUUAACAAUAUGUUGUACUUAUUUAUGGAAUAUUGAGGAACAACUCCAAAAAUGCACCCAAAAUCAAUGUACUCUGUAACUUGAGAAGGGAAAAUGUGACUUCGUGGAUAUGUUGUUUGAUUUGGAA